rnacentral:rRNA from 1 species
CGACGUGGGUAACCUGCCUCAUACAGGGGGAUAACAGUUAGAAAUGGCUGCUAAUACCGCAUAAGCACACAGCUUCGCAUGGAGCAGUGUGAAAAACUCCGGUGGUAUGAGAUGGACCCGCGUCUGAUUAGCUAGUUGGUAAGGUAACGGCUUACCAAGGCGACGAUCAGUAGCCGACCUGAGAGGGUGAUCGGCCACAUUGGGACUGAGACACGGCCCAG